GUCUAUGGCCAUACCACCGGAACAUUCCUGCUCUUGUCUGAUCUCAGAUGCUAAGCAGGGUGGGCCUUUGUUAGUGUUUGGAUGGGAGACAGGAUUUCUUUUUAGGGUGAGAGUAGAGGACUCAAACU
rnacentral:rRNA from 1 species